rnacentral:lncRNA from 1 species
CUGAUAGAUAUAUAUUUGUAAAUUAAAACAUUUGGGUUAUAAAUUGUUUUAUGAUUUAUUAAAUGUUUCCUUUGAUUUUUAUUGUUUUUUAUUUAGUCCAUGUUUCGUUGGCAAUUGUAAGAAACGUUUUUUACGUCAGUCUUGUUGGAAAAAUAUAUACAGUAUAUGACAAAUGUUCAUGAUUGCUGUAUUCAAACAUAUCUACGUAUGACGAUAACGUAGCUACUCUAGAAAAAAGUAGUAAUGUCAAAGUUGUGGUAGCUGUUGCAUAUAUAACAGGUUUUCUCCACUAUGCAACAUUUUCCUUCAAUUUCAGUACAUCUAUCUCCCCCUUUCCUGUUUACCAUCUGUGAAAAAAGUAAGUAAAUAUUUUGACAUGGUGGAUUUUUGAUAAUCUUGUUGGAUAUUUGUAGAUCUGUUACUUCCAUGUUGACCACUAUUUUUAUGCUAUAAAUAGCCCAAAUGUUUUGUGGAGAAACCUGUUAAUUCCUUCUGUAUCCGUAAAAGUACGUGCAGUGCUGUCAUUUAAAAACUUUAAUAAAAAAAAAGCAAUGUGUGCACAUUUAUUCUAUUAAAUACUGCGACUUUGUCAGGCAUGGUUUCCAAAGUGCCCUCAUCUUUGACAUGGUUGUAUAACUUGCUGGAAAAACUGUUAAUAUUUACUAAAUUGCUACUGUGUACUGUUAUAACAUUCCAUAAAUAAUAAUAAUAAUGUGGAGCGUUUUUUUCUAACUGGGAUCAGUAUUAUCAUCAUCACUUAGUAUACUGUUCAUCUGAAAAUAUCACUGUCACUGUUAAUUAUUGAUAUAUUAUUUCUUAUAUAGAUAUUAUUUUGCUGUAAAACGAAUUUAUAGCGAAUGGGAUUCGAAAGUUGAAUCAAUUCGCUUUUUCCUUUUUUUACUUGGGAAAAUGCUUUCUUCCACAGACAGUCUUAGCUCAUCUCCUCCCUCGAUUACGUAAUCAUGGUGCUCGAUCCAUCAACAAAAGUAAGGGUGCUCAUUUUGUCGUCUUCCUUUUCCGUUAAUGUUAACAUAUAAAAUGGACCAGGGAGAACUUGUUGAUGAUAAAAAAAUUUUCUUGCCAUUGUUUUUUGCAUCGAUACAAUGUCAAUUGCGGACACGCUUUUGCGUGACGCAUUUUUUGUUGUGCCUAGUCAUGGACCGACCCCGACAUGCCGCAGGUUUCGGCAUUUCCUUAUGGAGAGCUUAUUGCCAAAGAAAGCAACGACUUCCUGAUGCAUAUCGCUGAAGGACCUGACUCUACUUAGGAAGACAAGUACCCAAGAUUCACUUAAGGUCACAGCACUUAUACUUGUCGUAGGGAUAUUGGGAGAUGAACUAAUUGUCUGAUUGGAAUACUCCCUGUUUGCUGAUGUUUUCAUCGGCAAUCCCACAAAAAAAAAAAAACUGAUAGUGUUUUAUUCGUUUAAAUAUUUUUAAUUUAUAAUGAAAGACGUAAGGAAGAAAUUUUUUAAACCAAUUUGUGGUGAUGUAAGAGUUUUAUUGUCUUUCAUAUGUUUGUUAUCUUGACUGUAUUGCGGACAGCAUUCAAUAAACUAUUUUUGUUUGGCG